rnacentral:tRNA from 1 species
GGCCUAUAGCUCAAGCUGGUUAGAGCGACGCCUGAUUAAGCGUGAGGUCGGUGGUUCGAGUCCACUUAGGGCCCA